GAUGAAGAACGUAGCGAAAUGCGAUAAGUAGUGUGAAUUGCAGAAUUCAGUGAAUCAUCGAAUCUUUGAACGCACAUUGCGCCCGUUAGCAUUCUAGCGGGCAUGCCUGUCCGAGCGUCAUUUCAACCCUCAGGGUCCCCGUUCCGGCGGGGAACCUGGUGUUGGGGAUCGGCCCGCCCCGUGCGGCGCCGUCCCCCAAAUUCAGUGGCGGUCUCGCUGCAGCCUCCCCUGCGUAGUAGUUACAACCUCGCAUCGGAGCUCAGCGCGGCCACGCCGUAAAACCCCCGACUUUCUGAACGUUGACCUCGGAUCAGGUAGGAAUACCCGCUGAACUUAAGCAUAUCAAUAAGCGGGGA
rnacentral:misc_RNA from 1 species